rnacentral:tRNA from 1 species
GGUUAUGGCUCAGAGGUAGAGCACUUGCCUACCACGCGUGAGGAACUGGGUUCGAUUCUCAGCACCA